UUGGAAAGAUGUUUCAAAGUUUCGUUUCAAUGGUCUGCAUACUAAGAGAUAUUCCUGUAUGGUUACCCUAAAGCCAGUAUUUACCUUCUGCUGCUAUAUGAUUUUUUUUUAAAUACUGGAGGUGAUAAUUGUAUUCAGAUUCAUACUGUUUGGUCCUUUUGUUGGGUUUUAAGUUGCAUGUCGUCAUUGUUGUGGAUUUAGGAUAAAAGAGAGUACUCCCGUGGGCCAAAAAAGGAGGAAUUGUUUUCCUCCAGAUCGCAUAGGUUAAAGAUGGUUCUACAUUAAUUUGGUGGUAUCAUUUAUCCUAAUAUGCUGCUACUAACUCAAGUUAUUUCACUUGCGUGAUCUCCUUGAACGUGCUAUUUUUUAUCAGCUUAUGGUUUAUACCCCAGAAUGAAAUAAGAUAGGUUUUUCUUCGUAUUUUGAAUUUCUUUAUGUCGAUGUUAAAUAAGUUUUGGUUUAGUUCUCCAUUUUACCAUUAUGUUGAGAUUGGCAAACUAUAGGUACGGUUAGGCUCUCAAUGCUUAUUUAUUUGCCUUGACUUCUGUUUCUUCGGAUUCAUAUGAACGCUGUGGAACAUCACAAAAGACAACUGCAGUAAAAUCUUCUGUUGAUGAUUUUUCAGAAUAUACUCCAUCUGAGUCUGAUUCUAUGGCGUUGGAUGAUGUUCCUAUGCGCUCAAAGGAUUAUAUAUUAUCAGGGCAUCGCCAUCUUACAGAAGAACGAGAGUUGAUGAUCUUUAAAUUUGGUUGUUUAUUUUUUUCCUCAAAGAAGAAUGCAGAAACAUAUCAACGCUCUCUUGAAGCUAGGAAGACAGGAAUCAAGUUUUCUGCUUUUAUUUCGUAUUUGGUUUUGUAUAAAAUAAAUUGGUAAGCUCCAUGAUCCGUGAGGUAUGCUUCAUCUUUUACUUUCUUUGUUUGGCGUUCCUUGCAGAUGGCUCCAUUCUGGUGCCUCAUGGUUACCGAUUUUGUUUUUCUUCAGAUUCGCACCGUCUAGGUUUAGCUCCGGCCGCAGCGUCCAACUUCAUAGAGCUUGGAUUUCGUGUUUUCUCCCCACCGAGUUGUGAACAGGUCAGCCCGCCUCACAAAUAUCCACGCCCAAGUUAAUUCUCUGCAGCCUUUUGCGGAGUGCCACAAGUCCUGCUAUUUUUCUGGUGCGAGUCAAUUUCCUUCCGACAUUUUCCUGGUUCUGCUCUGUAGAUUUUUCUGUGGUAAUGCGAACAUAAAUUUAGGAGCAGUUCUUAAUGCAAUGAACACAAGGCUAGCUUUAGUCAGUAUUAAAAUCCAUAUUCCAAGUGAAAAAUUGGCAGUGCUUGUUGUGGAAGUCAUAUGCUUUCUUUACAUGCAUAGGUGAAAUAGAAUGCUGAAAUCAUGCGUCCAU